UACGUAGGGUGCGAGCGUUAAUCGGAAUUACUGGGCGCAAAGCGUGCGCAGGCGGUCUGUUAAGACCGAUGUGAAAUCCCCGGGCUUAACCUGGGAACUGCAUUGGGGACUGGCAGGCUUUGAGUGUGGCAGAGGGAGGUAGAAUUCCACGUGUAGCAGUGAAAUGCGUAGAGAUGUGGAGGAAUACCGAUGGCGAAGGCAGCCUCCUGGGCCAACACUGACGCUCAUGCACGAAAGCGUGGGGAGCAAACAGG
rnacentral:rRNA from 1 species